rnacentral:rRNA from 1 species
AGGAACACCGAUGGCGAAGGCAGGUCUCUGGGCUGUUACUGACGCUGAGGAGCGAAAGCAUGGGGAGCGAACAGGAUUAGAUACCCUGGUAGUCCAUGCCGUAAACGUUGGGCACUAGGUGUGGGGGACAUUCCACGUUUUCCGCGCCGUAGCUAACGCAUUAAGUGCCCCGCCUGGGGAGUACGGCCGCAAGGCUAAAACUCAAAGGAAUUGACGGGGGCCCGCACAAGCGGCGGAGCAUGCGGAUUAAUUCGAUGCAACGCGAAGAACCUUACCAAGGCUUGACAUUCACCGGACCGCCCCAGAGAUGGGGUUUCCCUUCGGGGCUGGUGGACAGGUGGUGCAUGGUUGUCGUCAGCUCGUGUCGUGAGAUGUUGGGUUAAGUCCCGCAACGAGCGCAACCCUCGUUCUAUGUUGCCAGCACGUGAUGGUGGGGACUCAUAGGAGACUGCCGGGGUCAACUCGGAGGAAGGUGGGGAUGACGUCAAAUCAUCAUGCCCCUUAUGUCUUGGGCUUCACGCAUGCUACAAUGGCCGGUACAAAGGGUUGCGAUACUGUGAGGUGGAGCUAAUCCCAAAAAGCCGGUCUCAGUUCGGAUUGAGGUCUGCAACUCGACCUCAUGAAGUCGGAGUCGCUAGUAAUCGCAGAUCAGCAACGCUGCGGUGAAUACGUUCCCGGGCCUUGUACACACCGCCCGUCAAGUCACGAAAGUUGGUAACACCCGAAGCCGGUGGCCUAACCCCUUGUGGGAGG